GCAUGGCUCAGUGUGAAAAACUCCGGUGGUAUGGGAUGGACCCGCGUCUGAUUAGGCAGUUGGCGGGGUAACGGCCCACCAAACCGACGAUCAGUAGCCGGCCUGAGAGGGCGACCGGCCACAUUGGGACUGAGACACGGCCCAAACUCCUACGGGAGGCAGCAGUGGGGAAUAUUGCACAAUGGGGGAAACCCUGAUGCAGCGACGCCGCGUGAGCGAAGAAGUAUUUCGGUAUGUAAAGCUCUAUCAGCAGGGAAGAUAAUGACGGUACCUGACUAAGAAGCCCCGGCUAACUACGUGCCAGCAGCCGCGGUAAUACGUAGGGGGCAAGCGUUAUCCGGAUUUACUGGGUGUAAAGGGAGCGUAGACGGAUGGACAAGUCUGAUGUGAAAGGCUGGGGCUCAACCCCGGGACUGCAUUGGAAACUGCCCGUCUUGAGUGCCGGAGAGGUAAGCGGAAUUCCUAGUGUAGCGGUGAAAUGCGUAGAUAUUAGGAAGAACACCAGUGGCGAAGGCGGCUUACUGGACGGUAACUGACGUUGAGGCUCGAAAGCGUGGGGAGCAAACAGGAUUAGAUACCCUGGUAGUCCACGCGGUAAACGAUGAAUGCUAGGUGUCGGGUGACAAAGUCAUUCGGUG
rnacentral:rRNA from 1 species